AUUUGAAUUAUCUGGCACGAGCCCUCACACGUCAAACUUCAACUGACACAACGGUCUCGGUGGAGGUAAUAAGCAAAAGCGCCUUUAAAUCUCGUCAUUUUUUAUACACAUCCCGUUUAUUUUGUAGUUAAUUGUUAGAUAAGUUAGUAAUUUCGUCAAGUUUUCGUUACAGGGUAAGAUUUCGUUAUCAUCGUUGCCAUAUAACUUACAGUAUUAUUGGUUCAAGAGCGCAGUUUGAUAACUCAUUCGAGGUUUGUAGCCAUAUUUAAGUUACUCGCUUACUUUGUUUCAGUGUUAGAGUAAAUGUAUAAGGUUUUGAAGUAAUAUUAAUAAGUUGCUGCGCCUCAAUCCGAAGGCUAACCACUGGAGGUAGCAUUUGGCUGUAUAACUUUUACGUCAUCAAGACUGUCAUAUUUAAGAAUAUUAACAAUUAUAAAGUCAACUAUUAUUCUCAGUUAAUCGUAAAUUGUUGUAAUAUGCUUAUGACUUGCGAAUUUAAUGUUCAUUUAACUGAAAUAAACCAGGCUUGAUGACGUAUGCUGCCUGCAUAUUCGAGGAUGCAGCCUUCCGUUUGAGAAACGGCCUACAAGUGUGAGCGUGCACGAGAUUCUGUCCGAAUUGAUUAUUCCCACAUUUUAAGGUUUAAAUUAAAACUCCUAACUUACAUUUCCAGGGGUUUCUGUUCCUGCAGUCUUCCAGCGAUACUGGCGCGUAUGACGAUGCGGACACGAACUGCACACUACAGUAUACCGCCGCCUACUGUACUGUAGUAAAAUAACGUGUAGGAUUGAAUACUGUGGCAAACGCAGUAAAAAAAGCCAUUUAAUUCAUUGUAAAAACAAUGGACAUGCCAGUUUAAGUAACUUGUGGGCUAAAUCACCAAAAUAAGUUUGUAGAUGUGGUUCAAUUAUUUUUAAUAAGUGUGCAGCAUAAUGGACCAGCCAGAAUGUAUGUAGCCUAUAAAUAUAUCAUUUAGACUUUAUUUUUAAACCUUUAUUUGGUGGAAUAUGGUUAAACAUUUUUAAUGGUAGCAAUAGGCUUUAUGCCCAGCUGCACUACUUCCUGAACUUCAGCCAGCUCCUUGUUUCCUGUCUGCCAUUAUUGGACAAACUGAUUAAUCCAGGUGUGCCUGACCUCAGUAGUCACAACAACAAUAAUCAGACACACCUGGAUUAAUCCGUUUGUCCAAUAAUGGCAGACAGGAAACAAUGAGCUGGCUGAAGUUCAGGAAGUAGUGCAGCUGGGCAUAAAGCCUAUUGAAUAAAAAUCUUAAAUUGAAUCAAAUCUCUUAUAAUAAUACAUAAAAGCUCUGGAAGGGUUGGGGGUACAUCUGGGUAACAUUUUAACAUUUAAUAUAUUUUGAUGUGUAUAUAUAUUAACUUUCUUUAUUUUGUUUUCUCAGCCUUUAAACAUCUAAACAUGUCCUCCAAAAAGGUAAGUUCAGCAGAUCAGCUUAUCUUAUUCUGUAAUAUUGAUACUGGUUUGAGAAAAACUAAGAUUAAACAACGUACAUGUUUCCAGGAAAAGGGGAAAAACAUUGGAAAACAAUUUCAGCCUAAGGUUUCCUGUGCUGUUUCGCUCCAUUUUACAGAACAAAAUAAGUGCUGAGGUAGCACCAUCCUUGUGGUUAUAGUGAAAGAAUGUGGGUAUUGAGACCAAAAUAAAUAAUGUGCCAUUCUGGACAAAAAGCUGUGGACAAUAUGCAGUCAAAGUAGCCUAUUUUCUCAGACAGGUAAAGUAUGCAAAGUAAUACCAAACUUCUUUUUAACCUUAACAAAUACUGGCAAGCCAAAUAUACAAUGUUUAUGUGAGGUACUGUGCAAAAGUCUUAGGCCACCAUGCUAUCAUUAGAUUUGUUAUUUUUGCAAUUGUAUAGUGAUCAUAUAUAAUUAUUUAUCAGUCUCUUUAUUAGAAUACAACCAGAAAAUACAGGAAAUGUGUAUGUAGUAUUAAAAACAAUAUAAACGUAUAAGCUGAAGUGUCAAGUGUUUAGGGUAAACUCUCCUUCCACUUGAGCAAUAGCAGGCAACUGCAGGAUCUCUUAAACCUAAAUUAAAUUAAAUCCUAAUUUCUAAUUCUAAUCGAAUGACUUCAGGACUUCAGUCUCCUCAAAAAAGCUCAAGAUGUGUUUAGUGCCAAGAGAGUUCACACUAAAUACUGACUGAUGUCUGAAGAAGACAUUUAGUUCUGAAAAUGGUUUUGUUUUUAAUUUUGUGUACAUUUUACCUGUAUUUUCUGUUUGUAUCUUAAUAAAAAGAGUGAAAAAUAAAUAUGGAUGGACAUUAAAACUUUGCUAAAACAACAAAGCUGGUGAUGGUUUCCCAAGACUUUUGCACAGUAAUGUAUAUUGACCAAGAGUUGUAAUGAUAAAAAAAUGCAUGUCGUCUAUUAUUUUCUUUAAAUGCACAUUUAUUCACAGAUCAGUAGGACAGUAAAUUAUCUGAAAGUGAAAUCAUUAUUGAAGGUGAUAUCAUUGUCACUGCAUUCAUUGUUACGUGAUUUUAAACAGUGGGAAUCAUUGUGUAAGUUUCUUAACAAUAUCAAAUACUACUUUUUUGUCUUGUUGUUUCUAGACCUGAAGAUAAGAUUUCCAGUUUGAAAGUGAAGAAAAUGAAUCAUUAUUAACAGCAAUUAGUAGUUUUUCAGCUGAGAAGCCAGGUGAAACUAUAAGGGCACUAUGAUUUACUUUCAUAUUAUCAUUCUUUUAUAGAUCAGGAGCAACCAGUAAGAAAAAGCAAAAAGAUGUUUUGAUGUUGCCUGAGGCACCUUAUUCACAUCAGUCAAUUUCUUCCAAUAAUGAAUCAAGAAAUCCUGGAGUGGAGAAUCAUUCUGAAAGUAGACCAAAUACAGGACAACACCACAGCAGUGGUUGGAAAAAUGCAGCAGACAAUGAGCAAGCCAAGCUGACUUUCAAAAGAUGAUUCGUUAUCUGUUUCUUCAAAGGGGAGGCAGUUUGGGAGAUGGGAAAUAGGAGGAUGCUACAGUUACACAGGGCGAAUUUCAGCAGCUCAGUUUCACACUUGCAACUAACAGUGAAUUAUAGUUAGAAGACCACGGAAAUAUUUGACAUCGGAGUCCAGCAGACAGCCAGAGACACGCACACACACGGAGCUGAAGCGCGUUUGACUGACGUGUACGGGAGAUCAGGCACGCGCACGGGAGCUCGCGCACGCACACACAAAAACGGAGCACAGGAAAAUUACAACUGUUCAAUUAAAAUAAAAGAACUUUGUGGUAAACAA